rnacentral:rRNA from 1 species
AUUGAACGCUGGCGGCAGGCUUAACACAUGCAAGUCGAACGAGUGGCGGACGGGUGAGUAAUGCUUGGGAAUCUAGCUUAUGGAGGGGGAUAACUACGGGAAACUGUAGCUAAUACCGCGUACCAUAGGAUGAGCCCAAGUGGGAUUAGGUAGUUGGUGAGGUAAAGGCUCACCAAGCCGACGAUCUCUAGCUGGUAUGAGAGGAUGACCGGCCAACUGGGGACUGUGACACGGCCAAGCCGCCUACGGGAGGCAGCGGUGGGGAAUAUGGCGCAAUGGGGGCAACCUGACGCAGCCAUGCCGCGUGGAUGAACAUGGCCUUCGGGUUGUAAAGUUCUUUCGGUAGCUAUGCGUUAACUACGGAAGAAGCACCGGCUAACUCCGUGCCAGCCGCCGCGGUAAUU